rnacentral:rRNA from 1 species
AGAGUUUGAUCAUGGCUCAGGAUGAACGCUAGCUACAGGCUUAACACAUGCAAGUCGAGGGGCAUCAGGAAGAAAGCUUGCUUUCUUUGCCGGCGACCGGCGCACGGGUGAGUAACACGUAUCCAACCUGCCCUUUACUCGGGGAUAGCCUUUCGAAAGAAAGAUUAAUACCCGAUGGCAUAAUGAUUCCGCAUGGUUUCAUUAUUAAAGGAUUCCGGUAAAGGAUGGGGAUGCGUUCCAUUAGGUUGUUGGUGAGGUAACGGCCCACCAAGCCUUCGAUGGAUAGGGGUUCUGAGAGGAAGGUCCCCCACAUUGGAACUGAGACACGGUCCAAACUCCUACGGGAGGCAGCAGUGAGGAAUAUUGGUCAAUGGGCGCUAGCCUGAACCAGCCAAGUAGCGUGAAGGAUGAAGGCUCUAUGGGUCGUAAACUUCUUUUAUAUAAGAAUAAAGUGCAGUAUGUAUACUGUUUUGUAUGUAUUAUAUGAAUAAGGAUCGGCUAACUCCGUGCCAGCAGCCGCGGUAAUACGGAGGAUCCGAGCGUUAUCCGGAUUUAUUGGGUUUAAAGGGAGCGUAGGUGGACUGGUAAGUCAGUUGUGAAAGUUUGCGGCUCAACCGUAAAAUUGCAGUUGAUACUGUCAGUCUUGAGUACAGUAGAGGUGGGCGGAAUUCGUGGUGUAGCGGUGAAAUGCUUAGAUAUCACGAAGAACUCC